rnacentral:rRNA from 1 species
UGGGGAAUAUUGCACAAUGGGGGAAACCCUGAUGCAGCGACGCCGCGUGAGUGAGGAAGUAUUUCGGUAUGUAAAACUCUAUCAGCAGGGAAGAUAAUGACGGUACCUGACUAAGAAGCACCGGCUAAAUACGUGCCAGCAGCCGCGGUAAUACGUAUGGUGCAAGCGUUAUCCGGAUUUACUGGGUGUAAAGGGUGCGUAGGUGGUAUGGCAAGUCAGAAGUGAAAGGCUGGGGCUUAACCCCGGGACUGCUUUUGAAACUGUCAAACUAGAGUACAGGAGAGGAAAGCGGAAUUCCUAGUGUAGCGGUGAAAUGCGUAGAUAUUAGGAGGAACACCAGCG